rnacentral:rRNA from 1 species
UACGAAGGGGGCUAGCGUUGCUCGGAAUUACUGGGCGUAAAGGGCGCGUAGGCGGAUAUCUAAGUUGGGGGUGAAAUCCUUCGGCUCAACCGAAGAACGUCGGCCGAUACUGCCGUUCUUGAGGGAUGCAGAGGAGAUUGGAAUUCCCGGUGUAGCGGUGAAAUGUGUAGAGAUCGGGAGGAACACCGGUGGCGAAGGCGGGUCUCUGGGCAUCUCCUGACGCUGAGGCGCGAAAGCGUGGGGAGCAAACGGG